AUCGUUCAUUGCUUUCGGAUGAUGAUGAUGAUGAUGAUGAUGAUGAUGAAGAUGAUGGUCGUUUUCUGGGUUUUUUGGUUGUUGUGGUGGUCGUGGUUGUUGGUGUGGUCACUGUUGUGGUCGGUGUGGUGACUAAAGUGCUGUCUGUGGUGUCCAGUGUGGUCGGUGUGGUGACUAAAGUGUUGUCUGUGGUGUCCAGUGUGGUCGGAGUGGUGACUAAAGUACUGUCUGUGGUGUCCAGUGUGGUCGUUAAAAUGUUU